CUUUUACUCCUUCCGUUUAGAAUUACUUGUCGCAACUAUGGAUGUAUCUAGAAUACAUCUAGAUACAUCCAUUUUUACGACGAGUAAUUUGGAACGGAGGGAGUACAAA
rnacentral:pre_miRNA from 1 species